UAUUGGACAAUGGGGGGAAACCCUGAUCCAGCCAUGCCGCGUGUGUGAAGAAGGCCUUUUGGUUGUAAAGCACUUUAAGCAGUGAAGAAGACUCCAUGGUUAAUACCCAUGGACGGUGACAUUAGCUGCAGAAUAAGCACCGGCUAACUCUGUGCCAGCAGCCGCGGUAAUACAGAGGGUGCAAGCGUUAAUCGGAAUUACUGGGCGUAAAGGGAGCGUAGGUGGCUCUAUAAGUCAGAUGUGAAAUCCCCGGGCUUAACCUGGGAACUGCAUCUAAAACUGUUUCGCUAGAGUAGGUGAGAGGGAGGUAGAAUUUCAGGUGUAGCGGUGAAAUGCGUAGAGAUCUGAAGGAAUACCGAUGGCGAAGGCAGCCUCCUGGCAUAAUACUGACACUGAGGCUCGAAAGCGUGGGUAGCAAACAG
rnacentral:rRNA from 1 species